AUAGAGAUUAGUGGUAAACAAUAGAGAUUAGUGGUAAUGGGAUAUGCUUUCUUCUGGCACUUAAGCAUCACUGUAGAAAAUACUUAUCAUUCAUAAAAGGGUCAAAGUGUAAUUAUAUGAUAUAAACUUUAUUCAGUUCUGUGUGUAGAUAGCUUUCUCACAAAUUUUGGUGUAGGGAUAUAUAUACUAUAUUCUAUAUACUCUGAAGUUUAUAUGUUUAACUUUAUCGAACUGAGCUUAACUUUAUAUGUUUGUACUAGGCUACAACACCAAAUUUGGAACAGAAGCUUGAAAAAUUAGCUCCUGCAGAUGCUGUUGCUGGUUUGAUUGCUCCCUGUUUUGUGGAAAGGGAAAGCCUAAGCCGUUAAUGGAUCAACCUAACAGAGUCAAAGACUUGACUGUUCCAGAAUUUGGAACUCUCCAAGCUUGGGAAGUGCGAGCAAAAUGCAAGAAUAUGUUUAUUUAUAUAAUAGUGUAGUGUACUGUGAUGUUUGGUUGGAUUUGUUUAAUACUUUGAUUUGGUUGGAUUUGUUAGGUAGUUUGGUUUGGUUGGAUUUGUUAUAAACUUUGAUUUGUAUGAAAGAAUAGUUUAAUGUUGCAGUUGAUAUAGUAAAAUAUUGCAAAAUUGUUAUUUGA